UGGGGAAUAUUGGACAAUGGGCGAAAGCCUGAUCCAGCCAUGCCGCGUGUGUGAAGAAGGUCUUCGGAUUGUAAAGCACUUUAAGUUGGGAGGAAGGGCAGUAAAUUAAUACUUUGCUGUUUUGACGUUACCGACAGAAUAAGCACCGGCUAACUCUGUGCCAGCAGCCGCGGUAAUACAGAGGGUGCAAGCGUUAAUCGGAAUUACUGGGCGUAAAGCGCGCGUAGGUGGUUCGUUAAGUUGGAUGUGAAAUCCCCGGGCUCAACCUGGGAACUGCAUUCAAAACUGACGAGCUAGAGUAUGGUAGAGGGUGGUGGAAUUUCCUGUGUAGCGGUGAAAUGCGUAGAUAUAGGAAGGAACACCAGUGGCGAAGGCGACCACCUGGACUGAUACUGACACUGAGGUGCGAAAGCGUGGGGAGCAAAACAGGAUUAGAUACCCUGGUA
rnacentral:rRNA from 1 species